UGGGGAAUAUUGCACAAUGGAGGAAACUCUGAUGCAGCGACGCCGCGUGAGUGAAGAAGUAUUUCGGUAUGUAAAGCUCUAUCAGCAGGAAAGAUAAUGACGGUACCUGACUAAGAAGCCCCGGCUAACUACGUGCCAGCAGCCGCGGUAAUACGUAGGGGGCAAGCGUUAUCCGGAUUUACUGGGUGUAAAGGGAGCGUAGACGGCAAGGCAAGUCUGAAGUGAAAGCCCGUGGCUUAACCGCGGGACUGCUUUGGAAACUGUUUAGCUAGAGUGCAGGAGGGGCGAGUGGAAUUCCUAGUGUAGCGGUGAAAUGCGUAGAUAUUAGGAGGAACACCGGUGGCGAAGGCGGCCCGCUGGACUGUAACUGACGUUGAGGCUCGAAAGCGUGGGGAGCAAA
rnacentral:rRNA from 1 species